GGGGGGAGAGGAGAGGGGGGGGGGGGGGGGAGAGAGAAAGAGGAGGGGAGAGAUUGUAGAAGUGACUUAAACUUAGAGAAUUCAACGUUCAUACCGCUGGAUUGUACUUAGAAAUUAGAGAAUACAAUGUACACUCCAGCAUUUUGUGUAUAUCUUUGGUUUAAACCAGCAUCAGCAGUUCCUUCCUACACAUUAAGUCAGCAAGCAAUUGAGAAUUAGAAGCAGGCAGAGGGAGCUAAAUCUAUCUACCAAGCUGAAUAGUAGUUUGAAAAAUUUUCA